rnacentral:rRNA from 1 species
GACGAACGCUGGCGGCGUGCUUAACACAUGCAAGUCGAACGGAAAGGCCCAGCUUGCUGGGUGCUCGAGUGGCGAACGGGUAAGUAACACGUGGGUGAUCUGCCCCUAACUUCGGGAUAAGCUUGGGAAACUGGGUCUAAUACCGGAUAGGACAAUCGUUUAGUGUCGGUUGUGGAAAGUUUUUUCGGUUAGGGAUGAGCCCGCGGCCUAUCAGCUUGUUGGUGGGGUAAUGGCCUACCAAGGCGUCGACGGGUAGCCGGCCUGAGAGGGUGGACGGCCACAUUGGGACUGAGAUACGGCCCAGACUCCUACGGGAGGCAGCAGUGGGGAAUAUUGCACAAUGGGCGCAAGCCUGAUGCAGCGACGCCGCGUGGGGGAUGACGGCCUUCGGGUUGUAAACCUCUUUCGACAGGGACGAAGCUUUGGUGACGGUACCUGUAUAAGAAGCACCGGCUAACUACGUGCCAGCAGCCGCGGUAAUACGUAGGGUGCGAGCGUUGUCCGGAAUUACUGGGCGUAAAGAGCUCGUAGGUGGUUUGUCGCGUCGUCUGUGAAAUUCCGGGGCUUAACUUCGGGCGUGCAGGCGAUACGGGCAUAACUUGAGUGCUGUAGGGGAGACUGGAAUUCCUGGUGUAGCGGUGGAAUGCGCAGAUAUCAGGAGGAACACCGAUGGCGAAGGCAGGUCUCUGGGCAGUAACUGACGCUGAGGAGCGAAAGCAUGGGGAGCGAACAGGAUUAGAUACCCUGGUAGUCCAUGCCGUAAACGGUGGGCGCUAGGUGUAGGGGUCUUCCACGACUUCUGUGCCGUAGCUAGCGCAUUAAGCGCCCCGCCUGGGGAGUACGGCCGCAAGGCUAAAACUCAAAGGAAUUGACGGGGGCCCGCACAAGCGGCGGAGCAUGUGGAUUAAUUCGAUGCAACGCGAAGAACCUUACCUGGGCUUGACAUAUACAGGACUGGGCCAGAGAUGGUCUUUCCCUUUGUGGCUUGUAUACAGGUGGUGCAUGGUUGUCGUCAGCUCGUGUCGUGAGAUGUUGGGUUAAGUCCCGCAACGAGCGCAACCCUUGUCUUAUGUUGCCAGCGGUUUUGGCCGGGGACUCAUGAGAGACUGCCGGGGUUAACUCGGAGGAAGGUGGGGAUGACGUCAAAUCAUCAUGCCCCUUAUGUCCAGGGCUUCACACAUGCUACAAUGGUCGGUACAACGCGCUGCGAGCCUGUGAGGGUGAGCGAAUCGCUGAAAGCCGGCCUCAGUUCGGAUUGGGGUCUGCAACUCGACCCCAUGAAGUCGGAGUCGCUAGUAAUCGCAGAUCAGCAACGCUGCGGUGAAUACGUUCCCGGGCCU